rnacentral:tRNA from 1 species
AAAGCACAGCACUGAAGAUGCUGAGAUGAGCCCUAAAAAGCCCCGUAAGCA